rnacentral:rRNA from 1 species
GCAGACCACUCCUACGGGAGGCAGCAGUGGGGGAAUAUUGCACAAUGGGCGCAAGCCUGAUGCAGCCAUGCCGCGUGUAUGAAGAAGGCUCGGUUGUAAAGUACUUUCAGCAGUGAGGAAGGUGGGUAUGUUAAUAGCAUAUUCAUUUGACGUUAGCUGCAGAAGAAGCACCGGCUAACUCCGUGCCAGCAGCCGCGGUAAUACGGAGGGUGCGAGCGUUAAUCGGAAUUACUGGGCGUAAAGCGCAUGCAGGUGGUUUGUUAAGUCAGAUGUGAAAGCCCGGGGCUCAACCUCGGAAUUGCAUUUGAAACUGGCAAACUAGAGUACUGUAGAGGGGGUAGAAUUUCAGGUGUAGCGGUGAAAUGCGUAGAGAUCUGAAGGAAUACCGGUGGCGAAGGCGGCCCCCUGGACAGAUACUGACACUCAGAUGCGAAAGCGUGGGGAGCAAACAGGAUUAGAUACCCUCGGUAG